rnacentral:rRNA from 1 species
AUGGAAAUUACUUUGUGUGAAGCUACUAAAUUGCUAGACAAUAUUAUGGCAAAUUAUUCACAAUGGCAUAUCGAAAUAGCUCCUACUAGUAAAAAAGUUAAUUCGGUUGAAGAUAUUUCUUCUUUGAGUGAAAAAGUUGAUGCUCUUACGAAAUUGGUUGCUAAUAAAAGUGCUCCCAUUGAUUUUAAUGAUGUGCCUUUGUCUACCUUGAUUGAGCAAAAUAGUGAUGCCGUAGAUGUGAAUUUUAUCUCUCGAAACAAUUUCAAUAACAAUGCUUAUAGAUGUAAUUUUAAUCAUAGGCCUUUUCCUACUAAUUCGUCUAAUAAUUAUGGUAAUUCCUAUGGUAAUCCUUCUUAUAAUAACAAUAGGAACACCUCUGAUCUUGAGAAUAAUAUUAAAGAAUUUAUCAACACUCAAAAGGUUUUUAAUGCUAUGAUAGAAGAAAAGCUGAAUUAG